AUUGAACGCUGGCGGCAGGCCUAACACAUGCAAGUCGAGCGGAUGAAGGGAGCUUGCUCCUGGAUUCAGCGGCGGACGGGUGAGUAAUGCCUAGGAAUCUGCCUGGUAGUGGGGGAUAACGUCCGGAAACGGGCGCUAAUACCGCAUACGACCUGCGGGAGAAGGUGGGGGAUCUUCGGACCUCACGCUCUCAGAUGAGCCUAGGUCGGAUUAGCUAGUUGGUGGGGUAAAGACCUACCAAGGCGACGAUCCGUAACUGGUCUGAGAGGAUGAUCAGUCACACUGGAACUGAGACACGGUCCAGACUCCUACGGGAGGCAGCAGUGGGGAAUAGUGGACAAUGGGCGAAAGCCUGAUCCAGCCAUGCCGCGUGUGUGAAGAAGGUCUUCGGAUUGUAAAGCACUUUAAGUUGGGAGGAAGGGCAGUAAGUUAAUACCUUGCUGUUUUGACGUUACCAACAGAAUAAGCACCGGCUAACUUCGUG
rnacentral:rRNA from 1 species